AUUGAACGCUGGCGGCAUGCUUUACACAUGCAAGUCGAACGGUAACAGCACUUCGGUGGCUGACGAGUGGCGAACGGGUGCGUAAUACAUCGGAACGUGCCUAGUAGUGGGGGAUAACUACUCGAAAGAGUAGCUAAUACCGCAUGAGAUCUAAGGAUGAAAGCAGGGGACCUUCGGGCCUUGCGCUACUAGAGCGGCUGAUGGCAGAUUAGGUAGUUGGUGGGAUAAAAGCUUACCAAGCCGACGAUCUGUAGCUGGUCUGAGAGGACGACCAGCCACACUGGGACUGAGACACGGCCCAGACUCCUACGGGAGGCAGCAGUGGGGAAUUUUGGACAAUGGGCGCAAGCCUGAUCCAGCAAUGCCGCGUGAAGGAUGAAGGCCUUCGGGUUGUAAACUGCUUUUGUACGGAACGAAAAGCCCUCUUCUAAUACAGGAGGGUCAUGACGGUACCGUAAGAAUAAGCACCGGCUAACUACGUG
rnacentral:rRNA from 1 species